UCGAGAAUCUUCGGCAAUGGACGAAAGUCUGACCGAGCGAUGCCGCGUGCGGGAUGAAGGCCUUCGGGUUGUAAACCGCUGUCAGUUGGGAGGAAGGCUCCGUGAAGAGCGGAGUUUGACCUAUCUUCAGAGGAAGUCCGGGCUAAGUUCGUGCCAGCAGCCGCGGUAAUACGAACCGGACAAACGUUAUUCGGAAUUAUUGGGCUUAAAGGGUGCGUAGGCGGCUUUGUAGGUGGGGUGUGAAAUCCCUCGGCUCAACCGAGGAAUUGCGCCCCAAACCACAAGGCUUGAGGGAGACAGGGGUAAGCGGAACUGAUGGUGGAGCGGUGAAAUGCGUUGAUAUCAUCAGGAACACCAGUGGCGUAAGCGGCUUACUGGGUCUCUUCUGACGCUGAGGCACGAAAGCUAGGGUAGCGAACGGGAUUAGAUACCCCCGUAGUCC
rnacentral:rRNA from 1 species